rnacentral:lncRNA from 1 species
GGACCGGGGGCUUUUAGCCUCAUGCAGUGUCACUCUUCAUUUUGUGACUGGGUCUUGACCUCCGUGGAUUCUUUUGGUUUUGGCAGGUCUAAGAGGCAGUGGCCCCUGAGCCACAGGGCUUUGUGGACAGUAAAGUGAGAGCCAGAGCGCAGGCAGGGGCAGGGAGGGGUGGAGGGAGCGAGAGAAUCUCAG